rnacentral:tRNA from 1 species
GGGGCUGUAGCUCAGUUGGUAGAGUGCUUGCCUUGCAUGCACAAGGUCCUGGGUGUGAUCCCCAGCACCA